CCUACGGGAGGCAGCAGUAGGGAAUCUUCCACAAUGGGCGAAAGCCUGAUGGAGCAACGCCGCGUGCAGGAUGAAGGCCUUCGGGUUGUAAACUGCUUUUAUAAGCGAGAAAUAUGAUGGUAACUUAUGAAUAAGGAUCGGCUAACUACGUGCCAGCAGCCGCGGUCAUACGUAGGAUCCGAGCAUUAUCCGGAGUGACUGGGUGUAAAGAGUUGCGUAGGUGGCAUAAUAAGUAGCUAGUGAAAUCUGGUGGCUCAACCAUUCAGACUAUUAGCUAAACUGUUAAGCUCGAGACCGUUAGGGGUAACUGGAAUUUCUAGUGUAGGAGUGAAAUCCGUAGAUAUUAGAAGGAACACCAAUAGCGUAGGCAGGUUGCUGGGACGGUUCUGACACUAAGGCACGAAAGCGUAGGGAGCAAACGGGAUUAGAUACCCGUGUAGUC
rnacentral:rRNA from 1 species